GUACGGCCGCAAGGUUAAAACUCAAAUGAAUUGACGGGGGCCCGCACAAGCGGUGGAGCAUGUGGUUUAAUUCGAUGCAACGCGAAGAACCUUACCUGGUCUUGACAUCCACAGAACUUUCCAGAGAUGGAUUGGUGCCUUCGGGAACUGUGAGACAGGUGCUGCAUGGCUGUCGUCAGCUCGUGUUGUGAAAUGUUGGGUUAAGUCCCGCAACGAGCGCAACCCUUAUCCUUUGUUGCCAGCGAUUAGGUCGGGAACUCAAAGGAGACUGCCAGUGAUAAACUGGAGGAAGGUGGGGAUGACGUCAAGUCAUCAUGGCCCUUACGACCAGGGCUACACACGUGCUACAAUGGCGCAUACAAAGAGAAGCGACCUCGCGAGAGCAAGCGGACCUCAUAAAGUGCGUCGUAGUCCGGAUUGGAGUCUGCAACUCGACUCCAUGAAGUCGGAAUCGCUAGUAAUCGUGGAUCAGAAUGCCACGGUGAAUACGUUCCCGGGCCUUGUACACACCGCCCGUCACACCAUGGGAGUGGGUUGCAAAAGAAGUAGGUAGCUUAACCUU
rnacentral:rRNA from 1 species